rnacentral:piRNA from 1 species
GAGAAAGCUCACAAGAACUGCUAACUCAC